UACGGGGGGGGCAAGCGUUGUUCGGAAUUACUGGGCGUAAAGGGCGCGUAGGCGGUUCGCUAAGUUGAAUGUGAAAACUCUGGGCUUAACCCAGAGCCUGCAUUCAAUACUGGCGGGCUAGAGUUCUGGAGGGGAUAGCGGAAUUCCUGGUGUAGCGGUGAAAUGCGUAGAUAUCAGGAGGAACACCGGUGGCGAAGGCGGCUAUCUGGACAGAGUCAGACGCUGAGGCGCGAAAGCUAGGGGAGCAAACAGG
rnacentral:rRNA from 1 species